UACGUAGGGGGCUAGCGUUGUCCGGAAUCAUUGGGCGUAAAGAGCGUGUAGGCGGUCCGGUAGGUCAGCUGUGAAAACUCGAGGCUCAACCUCGAGACGUCGGUUGAAACCAUCUGGCUAGAGUCCGGAAGAGGAGAGUGGAAUUCCUGGUGUAGCGGUGAAAUGCGCAGAUAUCAGGAAGAACACCCGUGGCGAAGGCGGCUCUCUGGGACGGUACUGACGCUGAGACGCGAAAGCGUGGGGAGCGAACAGG
rnacentral:rRNA from 1 species